CCUACGGGGUGCAGCAGUGGGGAAUAUUGCACAAUGGGGGAAACCCUGAUGCAGCGACGCCGCGUGAGUGAAGAAGUAAUUCGUUAUGUAAAGCUCUAUCAGCAGGGAAGAAAAUGACGGUACCUGAGUAAGAAGCCCCGGCUAACUACGUGCCAGCAGCCGCGGUAAUACGUAGGGGGCAAGCGUUAUCCGGAUUUACUGGGUGUAAAGGGAGCGUAGACGGCAGUGCAAGUCUGGAGUGAAAGGGGGGGGCUCAACCCCCGGACUGCUCUGGAAACGGUACGGCUGGAGUGCAGGAGAGGUAAGUGGAAUUCCUAGUGUAGCGGUGAAAUGCGUAGAUAUUAGGAGGAACACCAGUGGCGAAGGCGGCUUACUGGACUGUAACUGACGUUGAGGCUCGAAAGCGUGGGGAGCAAACAGGAUUAGAUACCCUUGUAGUC
rnacentral:rRNA from 1 species